rnacentral:tRNA from 1 species
GGGCCUGUAGCUCAGCUAGGUAGAGCAUUGGGCUUUUAACCCAAUUGUAGGGUAGGGGUCCCGGGUCCGAAUAACUAGGAAAUCCCGGCAGGCCCG